UACCUUUAUCAGUUAUAACCGAUAAAAUUUCGGUAUAAAUUCGAGGUUAACAACAAUUGAAUCUAUUAUUGUCAACUACUUGUAGUCAGUAAUAUUCUAUUUUCUACAUUAAAACGCCUCAUCUCUUAAGCUAAAAAAAAAUUUCUGAUCCAAAAAUGGCCAAAUUCACCCCCUUGAUGAUUGUUGUAUUGUUUGUUAUUGGCACUGUGCUCGUUAACACUGUGGAGGGCCACGAUGAGCCAUGUGGUCGUUCUGAUUAUACUUGUGAGAAAAAUGAAGACUGUUGCAGCUUCAAAUGCAUUAAAGAUGAAGAUGAGAUGAUAUGUUAUGGAGAUAACAUGGAUCGUUACGCAGCACUUUUAAGGGAACAACGUCAAGGUUAAUAAAAAUUAAAAAUUUUAAGUUACGAGUAACGAUGUAAACCUUCAAUAAAUGCGUAAAUUUCAUUUGAAACAAUAA